CUAGAAUUUAUUUGUUGAUGCUUCCACACGACACCCAUUUGUAGUUAACUGUCUUUGGGGUGGAUUCAGUUCCCAUAAUUCACAAUAAGGUUAUAACGAUAGGCAGUUUUACCUGUGGCAUGAAAACUGGGGAGAAUAUUUUCAAUAAAAGGCACCCCGAGUGGACUAAACGUUUUAUGAGCCACAGCUCUUAAAAACUUGUGGAAUGAUGUUGGGAUCUCUGGGAACAUGGUGGCUUGAAAUAUCGUUAGCAGAAAUGUAACUAGUAGUGAGUUGGAUUCCCAGACCAACAGCAUAGCUAUCGAAAACAACACGAGGAGCUGACUAAAAACCAUGGAAGGUCCGUCCAGAGCAACCCUGCGAGGCAGACCACCGACAUGGGGACCUCGCUGGACAACCAAGCAAGCCACUCCAAAGUGAAAAGUCUAGGGGCAACCAAGUUCCUUCAAAUCAACUUAGGGAGGCGCCCAUCCCCCUCCUCACCGGCAUCAACCGCGGGUUCCACUGAAACUGACACACAACCAUGCUACGGGGUUUCCCGGGCGACCGUGCAGGGGCUCUCUCUUUGGGCGGUCCUUGCUGUGGAAACCCGCCUCUCACCAACGAUUGGACAACAACAUGUCAAUCUUUGUCGACACAAGAAAUACACGUAAGUCAUUGGCGCACACUAGCUUCGACCACUUUUUUUUUUUGCGUGAACUACGUAACAAGGGGCGGUCGCUGCUUUGAGGAGGGGUGCGAACCAGCAGUGCCAUUAUUAUGUGCGUGUACUUGGGCGCUGGUGGCACCAAAGAAGGCGAGCCACAGAAAGAGUGGCUGGAUUUGGGAAAUAAUCUGAUACCAUACAGUGGAUCUGUACCUUCACAGUUUCGGGAAAUGCUCGUUAUUAAAUUCAAAUUGGAUUAAUUUGAA